GCUGGGCAUGGUGGUGCAUGCCUGUAAUCCCAGCUACUCAGGAGGCUGAGGCGGGAGAAUCGCUUGAACCUGGGAGGUGGAGGUUGCAGUGAGCUGAGAUUUUGCCACUGCACUCCAGCCUGGGUGAUAGAGCAAGACUCCGUCUCAA
ensembl:misc_RNA Metazoa_SRP Metazoan signal recognition particle RNA